AAAGUACUCCCUCCGUCCCAAAAUUCUUGUCUUAGAUUUGUCUAGAUACGGAUGUAUCAAGUCACAUUUUAGUAUUAGAUACAUCCGUAUCUAGACAAAUCUGAGACAAGAAAUUUGGGACAGAGGGAGUAGUUG
rnacentral:pre_miRNA from 1 species